rnacentral:rRNA from 1 species
GACGAACGCUGGCGGCGUGCCUAAUACAUGCAGGUCGAGCGGACUUUCAAGAAGCUUGCUUUUUGAAAGUUAGCGGCGGACGGGUGAGUAACACGUGGGCAACCUGCCUGUAAGACGGGGAUAACUCCGGGAAACCGGGGCUAAUACCGGAUAGUAUCUUUCUUCGCAUGAAGGAAGGUUGAAAGGCGGCGCAAGCUGCCGCUUGCAGAUGGGCCCGCGGCGCAUUAGCUAGUUGGUGAGGUAACGGCUCACCAAGGCGACGAUGCGUAGCCGACCUGAGAGGGUGAUCGGCCACACUGGGACUGAAACACGGCCCAGACUCCUACGGGAGGCAGCAGUAGGGAAUCUUCCGCAAUGGACGAAAGUCUGACGGAGCAACGCCGCGUGAGCGAAGAAGGUCUUCGGAUCGUAAAGCUCUGUUGUCAGGGAAGAACAAGUACCGUUCGAAUAGGGCGGUACCUUGACGGUACCUGACCAGAAAGCCACGGCUAACUACGUGCCAGCCGCCGCGGUAA